rnacentral:rRNA from 1 species
GGAACAAAGGUGGCUUCUCAUUUAAGUUUGGGGUGGGAUGGGCCCAGUAGGAUUAGCUAGUGGUAAGGUAAUGGCUACCAAGGCAACGAUCCUUAGCUGUUUGAGAGGUGAUCAGCCACACUGGGACUGAGACACGGCCCAGAUUCCUACGGGAGGCAGCAGUGGGAAUAUUGCACAAUGGGGGAGACCCUGAUGCAGCCAUGCCGCGUGUGUGAAGAAGGCCUUCGGGUUGUAAAGCACUUUCAGCAGUGAGGAAGGUCGUGUACUUAAUACGUGCACGGCUUGACGUUAGCUGCAGAAGAAGCACCGGCUAACUCCGUGCCAGCAGCCGCGGUAAUACGGAGGGUGCGAGCGUUAAUCGGAAUUACUGGGCGUAAAGCGCAUGCAGGCGGUUUGUUAAGUCAGAUGUGAAAGCCCGGGGCUCAACCUCGGAACCGCAUUUGAAACUGGCAGGCUAGAGUCUUGUAGAGGGGGGUAGAAUUUCAGGUGUAGCGGUGAAAUGCGUAGAGAUCUGAAGGAAUACCAGUGGCGAAGGCGGCCCCCUGGACAAAGACUGACGCUCAGAUGCGAAAGCGUGGGUAGCAAACAGGAUUAGAUACCCUGGUAGUCCACGCCGUAAACGCUGUCUACUUGGAGGUUGAGGUUUUAGACUUUGGCUUUCGGCGCUAACGCAUUAAGUAGACCGCCUGGGGAGUACGGCCGCAAGGUUAAAACUCAAAUGAAUUGACGGGGGCCCGCACAAGCGGUGGAGCAUGUGGUUUAAUUCGAUGCAACGCGAAGAACCUUACCUACUCUUGACAUCCAGCGAAGCCUUUAGAGAUAGAGGUGUGCCUUCGGGAGCGCUGAGACAGGUGCUGCAUGGCUGUCGUCAGCUCGUGUUGUGAAAUGUUGGGUUAAGUCCCGCAACGAGCGCAACCCUUAUCCUUGUUUGCCAGCACAUAAUGGUGGGAACUCCAGGGAGACUGCCGGUGAUAAACCGGAGGAAGGUGGGGACGACGUCAAGUCAUCAUGGCCCUUACGAGUAGGGCUACACACGUGCUACAAUGGCAGAUACAGAGGGCAGCGAGACAGCGAUGUUUAGCGAAUCCCUUAAAGUUUGUCGUAGUCCGGAUUGGAGUCUGCAACUCGACUCCGUGAAGUCGGAAUCGCUGUAAUCGUGUCAGAA